UACAGAGGUCUCAAGCGUUGUUCGGAUUCAUUGGGCGUAAAGGGUGCGUAGGUGGCGCCGUAAGUCGGGUGUGAAAUCCUGAGGCUUAACCUCAGAACUGCAUUCGAUACUGCGGUGCUUGAGGACUGGAGAGGAGACUGGAAUUCAUGGUGUAGCAGUGAAAUGCGUAGAGAUCAUGAGGAAGACCAGUGGCGAAGGCGGGUCUCUGGACAGUUCCUGACACUGAGGCACGAAGGCAAGGGGAGCAAACGGG
rnacentral:rRNA from 1 species